rnacentral:rRNA from 1 species
GACGAACGCUGGCGGCGUGCCUAAUACAUGCAAGUCGAGCGGAAGUUGAAGAGCUUGCUCUUCAACUUUAGCGGCGGACGGGUGAGUAACACGUGGGCAACCUGCCCUGCAGAUCGGGAUAACUCCGGGAAACCGGUGCUGAUACCGAAUAGUUUUGGGUCCCUCCUGGGACCUAACGGAAAGACGGUUUCGGCUGUCACUGCAGGAUGGGCCCGCGGCGCAUUAGCUCGUUGGUGGGGUAACGGCCCACCCAGGCGACGAUGCGUAGCCGACCUGAGAGGGUGAGCGGCCACACUGGGACUGAGACACGGCCCAGACGCCUACGGGAGGCAGCAGUAGGGAAUCUUCCGCAAUGGACGCAAGUCUGACGGAGCAACGCCGCGUGAGUGAUGAAGGUUUUCGGAUCGUAAAACUCUGUUGCGAGGGAAGAAACCGUGCCAAUUAACUACUGGCACCUUGACGGUACCUCGCCAGAAAGCCACGGCUAACUACGUGCCAGCCGCCGCCGUAA